rnacentral:rRNA from 1 species
AGAGUUUGAUCCUGGCUCAGAACGAACGCUGGCGGCAUGCCUAACACAUGCAAGUCGAACGAGACCUUCGGGUCUAGUGGCGCACGGGUGCGUAACGCGUGGGAACCUGCCCUUAGGUUCGGAAUAACUCCCCGAAAGGGGUGCUAAUACCGGAUAAUGUCUUCGGACCAAAGAUUUAUCGCCUUUGGAUGGGCCCGCGUUGGAUUAGCUAGUUGGUAGGGUAAAAGCCUACCAAGGCGACGAUCCAUAGCUGGUCUGAGAGGAUGAUCAGCCACACUGGGACUGAGACACGGCCCAGACUCCUACGGGAGGCGAC